rnacentral:rRNA from 1 species
UAAAUUAGAGUGUUCAAAGCAAACAGUUAAAGCAUUUUACUGCGUUUGAAUACUACAGCAUGGAAUAACAAAAUUGAACAAGUCAGAAUUCUGUUCUUUUUUCUUAUUUUGGCUUAGUUACGAUUAAUAGGAGUAGCUUGGAGGCAUUUGUAUUCAGAUGUCAGAGGUGAAAUUCUUAGAUUUUCUGGAGACAAACAACUGCGAAAGCAUUUGCCUAAAAUACUUCCAUUAAUCAAGAACGAAAGUUAAGGGAGUGAAGACGAUCAGAUACCGUCGUAAUCUUAACCAUAAACUAUGCCGACUAGGUUUUGGAUGAAACAUUUUUAAAUAAGAAAAUUCCUUUCGGGGAAAUUUCUUAGAUUGCUUCCUUCAGUACCUUAUGAGAAAUCAAAGUCUUUGGGUUCUGGGGCGAGUAUUCGCGCAAGCGAGAAAGUUAAAAGAAUUGACGGAAGGGCACCACCAGGCGUGG